GUAGUCUGAAACUUUCACUUAAGACUUUCCCUUUCUACGAAGGGCGAUCUCCAUCACUUGCAUAAGCCUGUCUAUAUAUACCAUGCGUGCUUUAACGCGAGUUUACUGACUAUGUGAUGUGAUGACGCUGAAAAAAAAAAAAAAAAACAUAUGUAUGUGCAUAUAUAUACAUAUUAUAUUGUACGAUAUGCGAAUGGGAGACGAAGAGUGGAAUUUUCCAGCGCCUAUCACUACCACAAACGUGACGACUUUUAGCUUAUCGUUCGUAUAUUAAUACCAACUCAUCCUAUCUCUUUGCUGUGACAUGUGAUAAGCUGGCAUAAGUACUAGCUAAAAAUCAUCUGUGGUACAUCUUAACUAAUUCAAGUAUAACAUAACACCAUUUUUUAACGACUGACAUCAGUUUUCCAGAUGGUUUUUUUGGUCUAAUGUAGCAAUAAAUUAUCAGAGUGGUAGUAUGUUAAUGACUAAUUUGAGGAAACCAAUACUCAGAAAAAUUGUGAGAAAAAAUCUUUUUUUCCCUCUUGCCCAUAAUUAAAUAGAUUUUAUCUCCAACGAAAAAAAGGAAAAAAAAAACGUUUGUUUUUCUUCUUUUGGUAAAAAAAAAAAAAAGUACUUUACGAUUAUGUAUUUUUUGCUUCCGUAAGUUUUUUGAGGGCGUCGAUUUAUGGUUAAGGAAAUUAGAAACGCUUCAAAUAUCAAUGAAGUAAAACUAGCAUGUUAAACUUUCCAAAUGGCUUUGGGAUAAUUACUAUUUUUAACAAUGACUUUCAAAACUCAUUUAUUUGUAACGAAAUUUUUUUCAGUAUAAAUAAUCCUCCAGUAAAAGUAAAUAAUUGCCGUAAGUUAAAAUUUUAAAAGUUUCACUUGGACUUUUUAAAUUAUUCUAUUAACAAAUAUUAAACAAAUUAAAUCACAAUUAUCAUUUGUACCGUCACUAUUAUCAGUUUCAUAAUUUUAAAUGACUCAAUAAAACUAUUCAAAAGUAUCUUAGGGCAAGAAAGGUUACCAAGAAGACUAUCAAAGAUUAUAAAUUAUAAAUUACCACUAAAAAACUCAAGAUUUCAAUUUCUUAAAUGACCCAUGAAUCGAAACUCCAGAUUAUUUUUUACAAUUCAUCGCAUAUAAAUAUAUAUUUAUAUAUAAUACCCAGUGAAAAAUCUUGGGCAACACACUCAACUGGAGUUGUGUAUACCGUGCGGGGCUGGACACUCUCAUGUUCAGGCUCCAUCGAAUCCAACUCUCGACCUUGGAGGGAUAAUAAAAUCCUACUCUGUUUUUUAUUAUUAUUUUUUCUAUUCCCUCCCUUUUUUUCAACGCUCGUUAUAUAUAAUGAUUACUCUUUUUUUAUUUUUUCAGCUAAGCCGAAAUAAAUUUUUUUCUUCUAAUCGAGAUAUAUUCUUCCCGGGAUUCUAAUUGCUGAUGAUUGAUAGC